GUUCUCUUGUCCAGGCAGCGCUGACUCAGCCGCCCUCAUUGUCUCACAGGGUGGGAGACACCGUCAAGAUCACCUGCUCUGGGAGCAGCUACAACUUGUAUGGCUGGUACCAGCAGAAGGUCCCUGGCAGUGCCCUUGUCCCUGUGAUCUAUGUUAAUAGCAACAGACCCUCAAACAUCCCUUCACGAUUCUCUGGAUCCUUGUUGGGCUCCACGGCCACAUUAACCAUCACUGGGGUCCAAGACGAGGACGAGGGUGUCUAUUUCUGUGGUGCCUGGGAGAGCAGCAGUGGUGGUUAUACAUUCGGGUCCGGGACCCAUUUGACCGUCAAAG